ACGAACCAUCCUGAAGAUUGAAGCUUGCUUCAUGAUUCAGAUUUUGGUGAGUGGCGGACGGGUGAGUAACACGUGGGUAACCUGCCCAAAAGUGGGGGAUAACAUUUGGAAACAAGUGCUAAUACCGCAUAACAACUACUUUCACAUGAUCGUAGCUUGAAAGAUGGCUCUGCUAUCGCUUUUGGAUGGACCCGCGGCGUAUUAGCUAGUUGGUGAGGUAAUAGCUCACCAAGGCAAUGAUACGUAGCCGACCUGAGAGGGUAAUCGGCCCCAUUGGGACUGAAACACGGCCCAAACUCCUACGGGAGGCAGCAGUAGGGAAUCUUCCACAAUGGGCGAAAGCCUGAUGGAGCAAUGCCGCGUGAGUGAAGAAGGUUUUCGGAUCGUAAAACUCUGUUGUUGAAGAAGAACAUGCGUGAGAGUAACUGUUCGCGUACUGACGGUAUUCAACCAGAAAGCCACGGCUAACUACGUGCCAGCAGCCGCGGUAAUACGUAGGUGGCAGCGUUGUCCGGAUUUAUUGGGCGUAAGAGAAUGUAGGCGGUUUAUUAAGUUUGAAGUGAAGCCCUCGGCUC
rnacentral:rRNA from 2 species